UACGGAGGGUGCAAGCGUUAAUCGGAAUUACUGGGCGUAAAGGGCUCGUAGGUGGCCAACUAAGUCAGACGUGAAAAUCCCUCGGCUUAACCGGGGAACUGCGUCUGAUACUGGAUGGCUUGAGAUUGGGAGAGGGACGCGGAAUUCCGAGUGUAGCGGUGAAAUGCGUCAGAUAUCAGGAGGAACACCCGUGGCGAAAGGCGGGUCUCUCGGCGGAAC
rnacentral:rRNA from 1 species